GACGAACGCUGGCGGCGUGCUUAACACAUGCAAGUAGAACGGAAAGGCCCUGCUUUUGUGGGGUGCUCGAGUGGCGAACGGGUGCGUAACACUUGAGUAACCUGCCCUUGACUUUGGGAUAACUUCAGGAAACUGGGGCUAAUACCGGAUAGGAGCUCCUGCUGCAUGGUGGGGGUUGGAAAGUUUCGGCGGUUGGGGAUGGACUCGCGGCUUAUCAGCUUGUUGGUGGGGUAGUGGCUUACCAAGGCUUUGACGGGUAGCCGGCCUGAGAGGGUGACCGGCCACAUUGGGACUGAGAUACGGCCCAGACGCCUACGGGAGGCAGCAGUGGGAAAUAUUGCACAAUGGGCGGAAGCCUGAUGCAGCAACGCCGCGUGCGGGAUGACGGCCUUCGGGUUGUAAACCGCUUUCGCCUGUGACGAAGCGUGAGUGACGGUAAUGGGUAAAGAAGCACCGGCUAACUACGUG
rnacentral:rRNA from 1 species